rnacentral:tRNA from 1 species
GGUUCGUUGGUCAAGUGGUCAAGACGCCGCCCUCUCACGGCGGAAACAGGGGUUCGACUCCCCUACGAACUG